rnacentral:lncRNA from 10 species
GUUUUGUGGAGGAUUGGCGUCUCUCUCCCUGCCUGUGCCCCACGCCGCUCAGUGCUUUCCCUUGGAGUCCUCAACCGUGGAACCGGUGCAUUCUUUCCUGGGCAGCUGCUCUGCUCACUUCCAACAUGUUGUGCUCUGAGCUCAUAAAAUCAGAGGAAUCAAAGGCAGAAGCUGCAAGCGCUCAGGCCUGCGGGGACCGGCGGCUUUGGAAACUCCAGUUUGCUUUCUUCUUUCCAUGUGUGGCAGAUGUGCCUGUCUCAUCUUGUAGCGCCUUGGCCAGCUUUUGCUUUUCCGCAGAGGAAGAAAGGAACUGCAGCGGCCUUUGAGAGAAUGAAAAAAUACUCAAUCUCACUUAGGUUCAGAGACAUGCAAAUUAAAACUAUAAUAAAAUACCCAUGUGGCAAGGCUGACAGAAGUUAGCAUUCUGUGCAAACUGGUUUGGACUUUGCUCUUUU